CUCACAUUUGGCACUUAUAUAGUUGCAAUGAGGGCUUCCUGUAAGUCUUGAGUCUAAAAUUACCCCAAGAAAUGUUGCUUCACUUUUAGUGGGAACUCUAAUGUUAUUAUAAAAUACAGAUACUGCUGGAGGAAGUCUCAUACGUGAGAAUAAGACUAUAAUACUUUUAGGAACCGAAAGGCUUAAAGUGUUAUUGUCAAGCCAGACUUUUAGUAACUUAAGGGAAUGUGUCAUAGUAUCAGACAUGUUGUCUACAGAAUCACCAGACACAUAAAGGAGUAAAUCAUCUGCAUAUUGGAGUGUGUUAACUUUACCCUUAAGGGAGGCUUCCAGAUCAUGAGAAUAUAUAUUGUAAAGUAAAGGACUUAAAACUGAGCCCUGAGAAUUGAAAGGUUGACAUUAUCAUAGGCUGCCGACACAUCUAAGAAUGCCGCUAACACAGACUUAUUGUAAGAAAAUGCCAAUCUUAAGUCUGUCAUAAAAAUACUGAGACUAUCCAUUGUACUCCUGCCUUUCCUAAAUCCAAACUGGUUUGGCGAUAGUAACCCCUUACUCUCAAUAAACCAUUCUAGUCUAGUUUUAAUUAAAUGUUCAGAAAUUUUGGAAAUAACUGGAGCUAAUGCAAUUGGUCUGUAUGAUGAUGGAUCAUUAAUCGGUUUGUUGGGCUUGUGUAUUGGGAUAACUUCAUGGAUUUUCCAUGAUGGAGGAAUAUUACCUGAUGUUAAGAUUGAAUUAAUUAAACUGAGAAAAUAAGAAAGGCAGGAAUCAUUCAGGUUUUGAAAAAAGGAAUAUGGAAUUCCAUCACAACCAGGGGCUGAGUCCCUUAGUUUUGAAAGAACCCCUUUGAGUUCUGAAAGGCUAAAGGAAAUUUAUGAAUUGCUACUAUCAUGCUGGGGGAGGAGAGAAAGCUGUGAGUUAGAAGACAUAUUAUCUAUAGAUGGGACAAAUGGUGGAGCUAAUCUGUCAAGAAACAAAUCAACUGUACUGCUAUCCAUAAGAGGAGACCUUGGAGGUUUAAAAGAGGAUCUGAAUCUACGAAUAUUUUGCCAAACUUCAGAUGGAGAAAUGUCUGGUGAAAUUGAGGCACAAAAAGAUUUCCAGCCAUUGAAUCUUUUUUGUUUUAAUAAUUUACGUGUUUUAGUUAUAAUAUUACAAAGAACAUUAAAAUUUUGUGAUGUAGAA